GCAGCUGCAGGCGCACCGUCACGCCGACACGUGUCUGACAGCUGACGAAAGCUCUUCGGGGCGUGCUAGCUCAUCGCAUCGGUAUUUCCAUUGACGUUCUGCUCUGGUGGCCGCUACGAGAUGGCCUGGCGACGACGAGUUGCCGCCGUUGGCGCCUCGUGGCCACUUGCGUCGCCUGCGAGUCUUCGCUUUGCUGGCGCGGCUCCGCCAUCGCCUUUGACGUCUGCGCGGCAGCAUCAACUGCACAACGUUUGCGAUGCCAUCUACCGCAGCGGCACGGCGAGAGAGGCUCUUCGCCAGGCGAUACAUGAGCCAUCGCACGAGAGUGCCCUCCGCUUGCUUGAAGAGUUCGAGAAGGAUCCCGGCGUCUGGCGCGACGAGGCGUGGACCACCGCUUUCCUUACCGCCUCCUCGCACCUGUCAAGCCAGAUGAACCUCUUGCUUGCCCGCUUCACGCAUUGGCACACAGUGCGCAAGGCCCCGACCAAGGUUGCAAUGCACAAGCCAUGGGACUGGUAUCCGCGCGCGCGUCUCAUGCGCCGCCGCUUUAUUUUCCACUACGGCCCCACAAACAGCGGCAAGACGCACGCCGCUUUAGAGGCACUGAUGCGAGCACGCAGCGGCGUCUACUGCGCCCCUCUCAAGGCGCUGGCGUCACAGGUAUGGCACCGCGUGAAGGAACGCGUGCCGUGCGACCUGCUCAUCGGCGACGAGCGCGUGUUUGGCGGCGCUGCGGAGCACGUCUCAUGCACGGUGGAGAUGACUCCUGUGGACUUGCCGGUGGACGUCGGGGUCGUGGACGAGAUUCAGAUGAUGACGGAUCGCGACCGCGGGUGGGCCUGGACACGCGCGCUCCUUGGCCUGCCCGCACGCGAGAUUCACCUCUGCGGUGAGGCUCGGGCAUUGCCGCUCAUCCAGAAUCUGCUCUACGCCACCCACGAGCGGAAGAACUUGUCAACAGUGGAGCACAAACGUCUCGUGCCGCUGACGGUGUCCCCGAGCCUUCGCUCUAGGCUUCGGCCGGAAACAGUGGAGAACGGCGACUGCUUUGUCUGCUUCUCCAAGAAGCAAGUACUGGACCUGCGGGACAACCUAAACCGUCUUUCUGGCGUGACGAGCUCCGCCAUCUACGGCGCCAUGCCAUUCCAGGUGCGAGAGGCGGAAGCUGCACGCUUCAAUCGUGGUGUUACCGAGUACAUCAACGCCUCCGCCUCCUGCAGCGCCAACGCGAAAAACAACGCAGCUGGCUGCAGUACCACGUCGUCGCCAGGCACCCGGCCUCGUGAGUCAUCGCCGGAAACGGCGACGCCCACAAAGCACGUUCUCGUCUCCACCGACGCCAUUGCCUACGGCCUCAACAUGAACAUCGAGCGCAUGGUUUUCACGACACUGCGCAAGUUCGAUGGCAAGGCCAUGGCCGAGCUGCCUGCCGCGACUGUCCAGCAAAUCGCAGGGCGCUCCGGCCGCUUCGGCCUCACUCGGCAGCACGCUGUGGGUCGCUGCACCGUGCUGCACGAGUGCGACAUGGCAGCGUUUCGCGCCGCCAUGUCUGCGCAGCUGGAGCCGCUUGCAAAAGCGGGGUUGCUGCCCACAGCCGACAUUCUUCAGCUGUUUGCUGAGCUGGAGUCUGCCAAGUCGCGCAAGGCGGGUAAGCCAACUUUGGAUCUGAGUGGCGGGUCAUUUUUUGAGCUCAUGUCGACGUUUGCCGCCUCGUGCGUGGAGUCGCAUAACUUUUUCCCCUGUGACAUUCAUCGCUCUCUGCUGCGAGUGGCUGAGCUCCUUCAACCGGUGUGCAACCUUUCGUUGACGGAUCGCAUUGUGUUUUGUUAUCUGCCGCUGAGCGACACGAGCGCUGCGUCGCUGCAGCUGAUUGUGGCCUACGCCACCGAUCACGCCGCAGGGAAGCCUGUGCCCUUGCGGUUCGACGUUUGGUGCACGGAGCUGAUGCAGCGGGCGGAGCGAGAGGAAACGUGCGGUGUGGGAGCCUCAUCUCCGGGCCAGAGGCAGCAGCAGCAGCUCUCCGUGAGAGACCUGGCCACCGAGCUCGAGCGGUGCUUUCGGCAGGCAGAGAUGUACUGCUGGCUGUCCUGGCGUUUCAGCAAGACGUUUGUGGAGCGCGAGAGAGGCCUCGAGUUGAAGGCCUCCAUCACCGCUGCCUUGACACGGCUGAACGGAUCUGCUUGAGGCUAGGACUGGAGGCGCGCUAUGCUCACCUCUCCCUCGUCUUCGUCUCGGCAGGAAAAAGAAAGUGGGGCUGUGGGUGUGUGGGGUGCGCUGCCCCCACCGCUCCCCACGUGGCCGAGAUGCGCAAGAGAACGGGAGGAGGCUCCUGUAUUCUCUCCCGCGGCUGCCGUCUGGCUAUGAAACCUGCCUCUUAUUCGCGCAGCCAUCAGGGCUGCACAACACAUCUUCUCUACUCACCUGCGCGCGCGCCGCUUGAACGUCCCCUCUCCCCCCAAAAAACAACAACAACUCAGCAGCAGCAGCAACAGCGAACAAACAACACCAAGGCGACCAGACGAGCACACGCAAAGAAGACAGCGAGCCGGCUGGCCAAAGGAUGUGCCGUCGGUGUGCACCUUUUGUCUAAUAGACACUGGGCUUGGAGCACCUGUGGCGGCACUCACGGCCCACGCGAGCCUUUGCGUCCCUUGUGCAACUCCGUGGCAUUAUCGUCUCUGCUCCCUUAGGAUGACCACGUCGUAGAUAGAGGAGCAGACAAGGGGUGCGCACUAGAUCCCAUUCCGAGACCAGUACAAGCACACGCGCACCGUCGGCGUCACUCUCCUACACGUAUCACCACUUCCUUUCUCUUUCUUCACCCUCGAUUUCAUUGCUCUUGUUCCUGUUCUCGGUUUGCGUUUUGCGUCUGAGCGGGUCUGUCUACCCGGCCAG
rnacentral:misc_RNA from 1 species